rnacentral:misc_RNA from 1 species
AGCUUGGGUCGCCAUCAAGACGUCCAAGGUUCGGCAUCAGCGUAGUGAAUGGAUAAUCAGCAAUAUCGGGCCUUGCAUGUGUAAUAGCAGCCAAUAGAGUUGAUUUUCCAGCAUUUGGAAGUCCAACAAGACCCACAUCAGCAACAACUCUCAGUAUCAACUGCAGGCUAACUUCCUCCCCAGACUGUCCGAAAGUUAAAACCUUAUCGGUGGCAUCUCUCAUUAUAUUUGUUGUUAAAGUUGUCAUUUGUUUCCUUUUGUACUCCG